rnacentral:lncRNA from 1 species
UGAUGUUCAGAAAUGUUAGGGUUUUUAUUUUCCAAACAUUAUUUUAAAAGAACAUUAAAAGCAUCAGAAAUACAAAUCUGGCCUAAAGGUUAACAUCAGAACAAUUAUAAAAUGUUUGAAAUACAUCACAUACUUUGCAUCACAGUAAAGCAUCAAGAGAACUAAUUAAUAUACCCUGCUAAUAAUUAGUCAUAUUCAACUGAAUUCUCAUUAUUUUUAGUUCUCAGUUUAGCCCUUAUAGAGAAGUUAUAUGUACCUAUCCAUAACUCCCUCUAUGGAUAGACAUAUAUAACUUAUGAAGAGAUAAGUUACAUUUAUCUCCGUAUCUCCACAUAGAUGUAGAGAUAGAUGUGGAGGAGGGCUAAGAAUCUAGCCCAACAUGUAUUUCAUGCAAUAAAUCAGUAAUUUCUCGAUGAGCACAAAGAGACUGAGUACCUCAUAUGCGCAUGCUUCCUUUUCUUUACACUGUAACUUUUACCUCCCAAAGAUGGAUCGGGUCGUCUCUAACUCAAAAAGUCGUACAAGAAACCUGUCAGCUUAAGUUUUACGAGUAAAAAUUACUUUUAAAAAAUCUUUUAUUGAAUCACACUGGAAAUGCCUAGCCAAAAACGAGAAACACACCUUAAAAAGUAGGAAGUAUCCUCUUGCUUAAUCUUAGUAAUUAUAAAGCUGUUUGGCUUAUUGGAAUAAAGAGCCAGCUCUAAAUUUUGACAAAAGUCUAACUCCUAAUUAGAAUUAUCUUCAAACGAUCUUGGGAGAGGAUAUUAGAUUUCUUAGUUCUUUGUUAAAAAGGGGUAAUAUACUAACCUAUCUCGUGGGAGUGGUAAUAAAUGAAAACAGUGUCGUAUUAAAAAUAUAAAAGCAUAAUUGAAAUAGGUUAUAGUGACUUCCAAAAAUAGCAUCCAAUUACAAACAAGAAAAAAUGUGACAGAGGGGGUGUUUUCUCUUCUGCUAUAAAAUUUAAUAGCAAAAAUAAAGGAAGAAAAGGAGAGAAGGAAGGGAAGGAAAAAUUCCUAAAAGGUGAAUUUAAAAAGAAAAGAAAAGCCAUAUCUCAUAGGAAACCUAGAAACAAAACGGCGGGUCAGUGCUGGAAGGGGGGUGUUGGGCGAGGCUGUGCAGAGCUCCCGCUGCCUUCUCCACACCUGGGGGCACCCUUGUACGGGGGAACAGCCUGGAGAGGGCGCCGUGCGUUGCAUACCUUUCUUCCAGAACAACACGGUUCCUUCCAACCUGCAGUAACAGUUCUCCAAUACGACCAUUCCUAAAGACAGGUUUGGGAUCUCGAUGCCCAUCUUGAGCCUAACAGCUGUAGUUCCAGAGCCGUGGCAAGUUCAAAAGCUAACUGUAUAAUGAAAAUAUUUUUACAUAAAAAUAUGAAUUUACGGUUGUUAUGCUAGGAAUCACAGAGUUCAUCAUAAAAUUAGUUCCAGGUAAAGAAAUCCUUCUAGUUUUCCUUAUUGCCCAUUACCAAGACUAAUGGGAGAGAAAUCACACAAUUAUUUUGAAAGCAUCACCUUAAAAAGUUUUUUUUUACCUUAGUGAUAUUUAAACAAAGACCAAAAAAUCAUUUUUAAAUAGUUACUUGGAAACUCUUUGUCAGGUUGUUAACGAGCCAUCCUCGCACAGAAGCGACGCGUAGAUGGAAAUCCUCUCGAUCUCAUUCUUAACACCUUCUUAGGCAAUAAUGAAGAUCAUGUGACACGCAACAGCAGUCCCGACUGUGACCCAUGUCACCAGGCCCUGGCGCAGAGGCCCCGGUUAGUGCCUCUGCUCCCAGAAAUCACAUUCCUCCACUACAGGAACAGUCCUCUCGACUAGGAUCCUUGGGUAAGCUCAUUCCAAAAUAGAAUAAUUCAUUUUUAGCAAGCAGAAACAUACUUCUUUAAAAAAACAAACAAACAAACAAAAAAACUAUACAGCUAGUUGAUUCACACAAAAGAAUGAUGUCUCUAAUAAGAAAUGGGAGUAAUCAGGGAUCCCUGGGUGGCGCAGCGGUUUAGUGCCUGCCUUUGGCCCAGGGCGCGAUCCUGGAGACCCGGGAUCGAAUCCCACGUCGGGCUCCCGGUGCAUGGAGCCUGCUUCUCCCUCUGCCUGUGUCUCUGCCUCUCUCUCUCUCUCUCUCUCUCUCUCUCUCUGUGACUAUCAUAAAUAAAAAAAAUAAUAAAAAAAAAAGGAAUGGGAGUAAUCAUAAUACUUGGUGGACUGUCUGCCGAAAGCAAAGUACCUGUGUCUUGGGUCAAGGGUAACCACAGAGAAAACAUUUCUGAUUUUCUGCUUUGACAACACGGCAUGUAUUCAAGUAAACCCGCUACCAAAAAGACUCUCGUAUUGGAACAACAAUACCCUUCCCACACUUCAGAGGGUCAAAAUUCAGAGUUCGAUUCAUUAAAAAAAAAAAAAAAAAUCCGUCUCGGUGAAGAUCAUACCUUCACACGGUUUAAAAAAAAAAAAAAAAAAAAUCCAGCUC